CCUACGGGAGGCAGCAGUGAGGAAUAUUGGACAAUGGAGGCAACUCUGAUCCAGCCAUGCCGCGUGAAGGAUGACUGCCCUAUGGGUUGUAAACUUCUUUUAUAUAGGAAGAAACAGUUUCUCGUGAGAAACCUUGACGGUACUAUAUGAAUAAGCACCGGCUAACUCCGUGCCAGCAGCCGCGGUAAU
rnacentral:rRNA from 1 species